rnacentral:rRNA from 4 species
ACACUGUACAAUGGAUUUCUCGGCUCCCACAUCGAUGAAGAACGCAGCAAAGCGCGAUAGGUAGUGUGAAUUGCAGAAUACCGUGAAUCAUCGAAUUUUUGAACGCAUAUUGCGCCCGGGUUUGAGCCUGGGCAUGUCUGCCUCAGCGUCGAUUC